GCGACCGAACAGUUAUGGCUUCUUGCCUGAAGACGUUUUUAAGUAUUCAGUAUCAUGUUCAGUAUUUUAUUAACUUAGAAGGUACUUACUUUAUCAUAGAGUGACAUUGUAAGGGUUAACAGGAUACCAGAAAGGGUGACAUGGUAUUUUACUUUGCUACAAGAUCAUACCAUACGUAUUAUUGUUUGUUCUACUUAAUAACAUAAAAUCAUGAUGCACUCAAAACCUGCGGUUGUUUAAUAUUCCAUAACCACCUUGGGUAAACCAUAAUCAUGUCUUAAUAAACAUUAUAUUGGUCCAGUUAAACAUAGAUUGCUACCAACCUAUACAAAUAUGAAGACUGUUUUACCCAACAGAGAUUUGUUUAUUAUUUCCAAAUAGGCCAUGGAAUUUCUGAAGUCAUACAAGAAGGACCUGUGCAAGUGGUUAUCGACGAUGGAUGCUGAGUUUAUCAUUGACAAGUGUGAAGAUAUCCUAACAGCUAAACAGGACAAGGCUAUUCGCAAUCAAAAAACGGAUCCAGGGAAGAUCAGUCUUCUUUUGGAGACAUUCAUUGAAAUGGAAGAAAGUACAUGUCAGAACUUCCUUAAGAUUCUGAAGAAAGAGCAGACACAUUAUCCAGGCCUUCAACAACAUUUCAGCAAGAGCACACAAGCUUCAUCUAGCCCAACGGUGUAUGCAGAUUGCAACAGCACUGUUGAUACCAGGAAAGUCACCAAUGUCCGCGGUAUUAAAGACUUAGACAUGCAUGUAAUCGUUCAAGCAGGAUCGGGGAAUCGAUCUGGAAUGAACGUCAGCCAACCACCCCCACAUGCAGAAGUGGUUGCAACAGAACACAGCCAUGUAUUUGCAUCAGAGAUAUCGAACUGUACAAUCGAUGGCAACCUCAAUAUGUCUGUGAUGCAGGUCCCAGCCCCCCAGGCCUCACAGUGUCCAGGUGAACUACUGCAUUUAGGCAGGUUUUAUCUUCACAGGUCUCAGUGGUAG
rnacentral:lncRNA from 1 species